ACCAGAUGACCUACUACAAGUGUGUUCAAUUUAGGAGAAGUUCGACAUUGUAAAAGUCAUAAAUACUUCAGGUAUUUAAACCAAAACCAACAAAUUGUAGGAGUAUUCAUGACACAUUAUAAUCUCUUCAAAGGUUAAUCAAUAUGUGAGUAACAUUAUUUUAAUUUCU